UUUUCUGAUUUUAGGGUAUGUUUGAGGUAUGGCUGAGUUAUAUAAACCACACGAUUGAGAUAUAUAAACGACACGACUUAGUUUUGUAAACAUAGCAUAAUUCAAAUACAAAAUACAUAGGUGAGUUAUGUUUCUUACAUAGACAACCAAAAAUACAGAUUUUCUGCACCAUUCUGGUGAUAACUCCUCCAUGUCUCCAAGCUUCAUUGAACUCCUCUGUGUCGUCUCUGCUGAAUCUGUCACUUCUUCUUGUCUCCUCCAUUCUCUUCUUGUUCAAUCUUCUCUUUCACUCAGAUCUGGAAAAUGUUUUUUGGAUUAUCCAAAUAUGGGUAUAAAAUCACAAACAAAUUUAAAUGAAUACAUUCCACAAUUGCCAAUUUGGGUGUUUUUUG
rnacentral:lncRNA from 1 species